rnacentral:rRNA from 1 species
CGGAGCGUGUGGUUUAAUUCGAUGCUACACGAAGAACCUUACCAAGGUUUGACAUGCAAGUGGUAGUGAUCUGAAAGUGAACGACCUUCGGGAGCUUGCACAGGUGCUGCAUGGCUGUCGUCAGCUCGUGUCGUGAGAUGUUCGGUUAAGUCCGCUAACGAGCGCAGCCCUCACUGUGUGUUAUACGUGUCACACGGGACUGCCGGUUUUAAGCCGGAGGAAGGCGAGGAUGAAGUCAAGUCAGCAUGGCCUUUAUAUCUUGGGCUACACACACGCUACAAUGGUCUGUACAACAGGUUGCCAAGCCGCGAGGCGGAGCCAAUCCUAAAAGCAGGCCUCAGUUCAGAUUGUAGGCUGCAACCCGCCUGCAUGAAGAUGGAGUUGCUAGUAACCGCAGGUCAGCUAUACUGCGGUGAAUACGUUCCCGGGUCUU